GGCUGCGGAGGCCGUCCCGGCGAUGCCGCUGCCGGUCUUGUCGGCCUGCUGCAGCGCGGCGUUCCAGUCGCCGUGCAGCUU
rnacentral:tRNA from 1 species